rnacentral:snRNA from 1 species
GUGCUCACUUCAGCAGCACAUAUACUAAAAUUGGGACAAUACAGAGAAGAUGUGCCUGACCCAUGCUCAAGGAUGACACAUAAAUUUGUGAAGCAUUUCAUAUUUUA